AACGAACGCUGGCGGCAUGCCUAACACAUGCAAGUCGAACGAGACCUUCGGGUCUAGUGGCGCACGGGUGCGUAACGCGUGGGAACCUGCCCUUAGGUUCGGAAUAACUCCCCGAAAGGGGUGCUAAUACCGGAUGAUGUCUUCGGACCAAAGAUUUAUCGCCUUUGGAUGGGCCCGCGUUGGAUUAGCUAGUUGGUAGGGUAAAAGCCUACCAAGGCGACGAUCCAUAGCUGGUCUGAGAGGAUGAUCAGCCACACUGGGACUGAGACACGGCCCAGACUCCUACGGGAGGCAGCAGUGGGGAAUAUUGGACAAUGGGCGAAAGCCUGAUCCAGCAAUGCCGCGUGAGUGAUGAAGGCCUUAGGGUUGUAAAGCUCUUUUACCCGGGAUGAUAAUGACAGUACCGGGAGAAUAAGCUCCGGCUAACUCCGU
rnacentral:rRNA from 1 species